GGAUAAUCUGCCCUCAGGUGAGGAAUAAUCCCGGGAAACUGGGGCUAAUGCCUCAUAGGAGACGGGUGCUGGAAUGCUCUGUCUCCGAAAGGUCCGCCGCCUGAGGAUGAGUCCGCGUCCGAUUAGGUUGUUGUUGGGGUAACGGCCCAACAAGUCUUUGAUCGGUACGGGUUGUGGGAGCAAGAGCCCGGAGAUGGAUUCUGAGACAUGAAUCCAGGCCCUACGGGGCGCAGCAGGCGCGAAAACUUUACAAUGCGAGCAAUCGUGAUAAGGAAACCCUGAGUGCCUGUCAAUGCAGGCUGUUCUGGUGUCUAACACACACCAGGAGAAAGGGCGGGGCAAGACCGGUGCCAGCCGCCGCGGUAAUACCGGCUGCUCGAGUGAUAGCCACUUUUACUGGGCUUAAAGCGUUCGUAGCUUGGUCGUAAAGUCUCUGGGGAAAUCUUUUGGCUCAACCAAAAGGCGUCUCAGGGAAACUGACGAUCUUGGAACCGGGAGAGGUAAGACGUACUUCGGGGGUAGGAGUGAAAUCUUGUAAUCCCCGAGGGACGACCGAUGGCGAAGGCAUCUCACCAGAACGGCUUCGACAGUGAGGGACGAAAGCUGGGGGAGCAAACCGGAUUAGAUACCCGGGUAGUCCCAGCCGUAAACGAUGUGCGUUAGGUGUGUCAGUGACCACGAGUCGCUGAGGUGCCGAAGGGAAACCGUGAAACGCACCGCCUGGGAAGUACGGUCGCAAGGCUGAACUUAAAGGAAUUGGCGGGGGAGCACCACAACGGGUGGAGCCUGCGGUUUAAUUGGAUUCAACGCCGGACAACUCACCGGAUA
rnacentral:rRNA from 1 species